rnacentral:rRNA from 1 species
CGCCUUGCCAGCCCGCUCAGAAACUUAAAGGAAUUGACGGGGGCCCGCACAAGCGGUGGAGUAUGUGGUUUAAUUCGAUGCAACGCGAAGAACCUUACCUGGUCUUGACAUCCCGGAGACCCUUAGGAAACUAGGGGGUGCUUCCAUCUGGAAGAAUCUGGAGACAGGUGCUGCAUGGCUGUCGUCAGCUCGUGUCGUGAGAUGUUGGGUUAAGUCCCGCAACGAGCGCAACCCUUGCCUUUAGUUGCCAGCAGUUCGGCUGGGCACUCUAAAGGGACUGCCGGUGUUAAACCGGAGGAAGGUGGGGAUGACGUCAAGUCCUCAUGGCCUUUAUGACCAGGGCUACACACGUACUACAAUGGCCGAUACAAAGGGCAGCGACACUGCGAGGUGAAGCCAAUCCCGUAAAAUCGGUCUCAGUCCGGAUUGGAGUCUGCAACUCGACUCCAUGAAGUUGGAAUCGUUAGUAAUCGUGGAUCAGCAUGCCACGGUGAAUACGUUCCCGGGCCUU